AUCCAUCAGCUAUCAAGGCAGUCUGUAAUCUGUGCACAUCUCCUUGUUUUAAACAAAGAGUGAAUAUUGGCUUUCCAAACUGAGUUUCCCUAAGAAAACAUUUAAGAAAAUGAUGCAGCCUACUGGCACAACUAUUAGAGCGGUCCAUCCAUAUUGCGAGAAGAGGCUCCAAGCCCCUACCCAGCAGAAAGGGAGCUCCAGCACAAAUACCAGUGAUGCCGCACACAUCGGAGGCAAAGCGGGUCCGCGUUUGGCAGAAAAAUUAAUACCCCUGAAGAAGUCCCAGAUUGGGACGAAAUGCGUUGGAUUUCUUCAAGAUCUGCCUCCACCCGUUGCCACAUGCAGUUCAGCCAGUAAUAUUGAACCAACAUUGGUUGUACACUUAUUAUCAUAUAUUUGUACGUAUUGUAUUGCCUAAAAUCC